rnacentral:rRNA from 1 species
AAUCUGGAGCCCCCCGGCCCCCGAGUUGUAAUUUGGAGAGGCAUCUUCGGGGGGGAGCGCCGGCCCAUGUUCCUUGGAACAGGACGUCGCAGAGGGUGAGAAUCCCGUGCCAGGCCGGCUGCCUCCUCCCUAGUGAAGGGCCUUCGACGAGUCGAGUUGUUUGGGAAUGCAGCUCCAAGUGGGUGGUAAAUUUCAUCUAAAGCUAAAUACCGGCGGGAGACCGAUAGCGCACAAGUAGAGUGAUCGAAAGAUGAAAAGCACUUUGAAAAUAGAGUCAAAAAGUACGUGAAAUUGUUGAAAGGGAAGCGCUUGAGACCAGACUCAGACCCGAGCAAACACCGCGCCCCUCGGGGCCGUGCAAUUGCCUGGGGCUGGGCCAGCAUCAGUUGGCGUGGCGGGACAAAGGCGCGGGGAAUGUGGCUCCCCUCGGGGAGUGUUAUUAGGCCCGCGCUCAAUGCCGCCGCCGCCGACUGAGGACCGCGCCUCGGCUAGGAUGCUGGCUUAAUGGCCUUCAGCGACCCGUCUUGAAACACGGACCAAGGAGUCUAACAUCUAUGCGAGUGUUUGGGCGUCAAACCCUUGCGCGGAAUGAAAGUGAGCGGAGGUGGGAACCCCUUCGCAGGGCGCACCAUCGACCGAUCCUGAUGUCUUCGGAUGGAUUUGAGUA